AAUAAACCGUUGAAAAAGAGGAGUAAGCUUCUUGACAAUAUUCCAGAGAGUCGCAGGUGGUGGGAUUGCGAUAUAACGUUAUUAGCUGAAUGGACUUUUGAGGGCAGUCUUGAACGCAUUAUCAAGUAGGGACUGACGGAAACCGCAACCGUUAUUCAUGCGGCAUAUAUGUUAGUAUAUGAAAAAGUGGACUUAGGUCAAUUUGAGUGGUACCGCGGAUUUUGUUUAAUUCGUCUCAAGC
rnacentral:ncRNA from 1 species